UACGUAGGUGGCAAGCGUUGUCCGGAUUUACUGGGCGUAAAGGGCUCGUAGGUGGCCAACUAAGUCAGACGUGAAAUCCCUCGGCUUAACCGGGGAACUGCGUCUGAUACUGGAUGGCUUGAGUUUGGGAGAGGGAUGCGGAAUUCCAGGUGUAGCGGUGAAAUGCGUAGAUAUCUGGAGGAACACCGGUGGCGAAGGCGGCAUCCUGGACCAACACUGACACUGAGGAGCGAAAGCCAGGGGAGCAAACGGG
rnacentral:rRNA from 1 species